UACGGGGGGGGCAAGCGUUGUUCGGAAUUACUGGGCGUAAAGGGCGCGUAUGCGGUCGAGUAAGUCUGACGUGAAAUCCCUUGGCUCAACCAAGGAACUGCGUCUUAAACUGCUCGGCUUGAGUCCGGGAGAGGGUAGUGGAAUUCCCAGUGUAGCGGUGGAAUGCGUAGAUAUUGGGAGGAACACCGGUGGCGAAGGCGGCUACCUGGACCGGUACUGACGCUGAGGCGCGAAAGCCAGGGGAGCAAACGGG
rnacentral:rRNA from 1 species